UUCCUCAGUCCUGGACUCAUCUAAUUAAUAUAUUUUUUAAUGUAGCAAAAACAAUGCCAUGUCAACCUUUGGAACAAUAUUAAAGAAUCAAUCUGAAGAGUAGUGUCUUGGUUUCUUGGUCCUCCAAAAAAUUCCAAAUGGAAUUUAAACUGGAGGUGGUGGAGGGAGGACUAAUUAAUCAAAACAGUAAACUUCAAUGACAAUCACAAAGAUUCAUGGAAAAGUGCUCAACUGGCCUGUUGCCCAGCCGUUUAGGAUGCUACAUUUGGCUACCAACUAGCUUCAGUUAUCCACACUCAAAUGAGAGAUUUACACAAGUCUUGCUGCUUGGGCGAGGGAGCCGCCACUUUCUGCAGAACUAUUUCGACCAUGAAUCAGCACCUUCGGGAAGGAUACGGAAGAGGCCCAUCAACUUUUAAACAAAUGAGUCGGCGGGGUGGGGACGAGGAGAGUGCUACAUUUCCUGACAGGGAGACAGGUAGUGAUGGAAAUGGUAAGCACAUUCUCGGGCAGACGAGUAUUUAUAGUUGAUGCCAACAACCAGUUCUUAAGAGAACUGCAACUUUGUUGCGACAUGUGUUAAAAUGUUAGCAACAUUUCCCUUCUAUCAUCAGAGUUAAAGUUAUGGAGCCAAAAGAUAGAUAUGCCAACUGAAAAAUACAUAAAGCCACUUUGUUAAUUUACAAUCGUUAAAGUAGCAGUUUUUUUUUUAAAAUUUCCUUUUGAUAUUGCACUUUUAAUUGGCACUCCAAUGAAAGCAUGGUGAUCGCGCGGAUCUAUAAUUAAAACAGGGACACAACCUAACUUAGUAAGUUACAUCACUUCAAAUUAACUUGUCGAACUUCACCUUAUUUAGUCGGAAACAGUUCAUAAGUAGUACACGUUGCCAAUAUUAACCAAAAAGUUGAAGUGAGGGAGAAUGGGUGGAUCACAAGAAACUGCCCUGUUGCAAUGAAGCGGGGACUCGAGUAAACGCGAGUGGCCAAGGGUGGGGAGAAUGAUUAUACCAAAGUUAGACUCAGAUAAAACAGACCCAUUGUCCCGAGUCUGUGACCCCAGAGCUCAAGAGUAGUCCGAAUGCCAAAUAAGGUUCUUCCAUUACCCACCAGACUACUGUUAGGAAAGAAUCCCGUACAUGACGCAUUGCAGGAAGCUUUGAGUCAUUCGAGUUCCGUUAUAAGUUGGACAACGGCCAAAGUGUAGAAUUAAGAGCUUUGUUAAAAUAGUAAUACACUUCCCAAAGCAAAAGGAAACUGCAGUUAAAAACUUGCACUAAUCACCACAAAUGUAAAAUUAGCUCGACUCAAUGCAAACUUAAAACAAAAAAAAGAAUGAGGGCUGUUACAAGUCGUGCCAGUCGAAUUGGUAGAAGGAGGGAGAGUGUAGAACGAGCUUGAGAAGGAAUAGCACGCUCGGCCGCUUCCCGCCACUGCACGGCAGCGCUGCCCAUCGCGGUCUCGCCGCGGACACAGCGGAGGGAGGGACGGAGGGAGGGAGAGAGGGAGGACGGCCCGAAACCCGGCCCGCAUCGUUGCCUCACGGCCAAAUACAGCGGCCCGAUGCCCGGCCCGUAUCGCUGCCUCUCGGCCAAAUACACCAGCCUUCACAGUUAAUAACGGCGGCGGAAAAAGGUUUGUACUCAAUAGAUAAUAUUAUAAACAAAAGAAAAGUUAAAUAAUCUCUUGUGGAGUUUGAAUGUUCCUCCUGUGACCACAGGGGUUUCCUACAUCCCAAAGACGUGUCUUUGAAAGUAGUAAGCUUAUUAAGAAGGUGCUACAGCUAGGUGGUGACAUCCAAGGCGCACUAAUAUUGGGCCCAGAAAAUCAAGGCCCUGAGGAGUGUUGCGGAACAGAGAGGCGUAGGAGAUAAGGUGUGUAGUUGCCUGAAAGUGACCACACAGAUAAACAUGUGCUUAUGUUUAGUAAGAUUUUUACUGAACUGUAAGCAAAAAAGAAUUUCACUGUACCCAGUACAUGUGACAAUAAAGUACCAUUGACCUAUAAUUGCUUUUUGUAUUUUUAUUUUUGUACCAUCAUGCUCUAGUUUGCUCAGAAAUUAUAAUUUGUU